AAAUUAUCCGAGUAAGAUUUAUUAAGAUUUUCAAAUGGUUGUUCUUUUCCUUCUCAAGCCCUGAGAAAGUUAGGGUUCACAGUAGGAGUGUGAAAGGAUUGGGUUGAGAUGAAGAGAGCGACGAGGAAAUCUUCCAUAGGAUUAGAAGAAGAACGGAGCUCGGUUGGGAAUUUCAGUACCAGGUUUUCCUUGCCAUCAUUUGUCAGGCGAGUGGAGAAACUAACAGAUGAUCAAAGAAAUGCAAUAAAGAAGAUGGGAUUUGGGCAUCUCCUUGAGAUGCCUAUUCAGACACUUAACAAGAAUCUUUUAGUUGAAUUAAUGGAAAGGUGGAGUUGUGAGAAGCAUGCUUUCAUACUUCUUCCUGGGGAGAUUACAAUUACUCUCAUGGAUGUUGCACUCAUUCUGGGACUACGUGUAAUGGGUGAUUCCGUAGUCUUAAAGGAAGAUGAACCUUUUUCAGAUUUAGAAAAAGAAUAUGGUGCUACUAUUUCAAAUAGGAAAAUCAUGGUUUCGUCGAUUGAGAAUAAACUUGAGUCCAUUGGUGAGAUAGCUAAUGAUGAUUUUGCCAGAGCUUUUUUAUUAUUUACAUUUGGGACAUUUCUUUUUCCAAAUGCAAAUGGAAAAGUAGAUUCCCGAUAUCUUUCUGUUCUCAAAGACUUGGAUAAUGUGCAUCAACUGGCCUGGGGUGCAGCUGUUCUAGAGGACAUAAUUAAGUGGUUGUCCAAAAAAAAGGAAAUGAAUGUACAAUAUGUAGGAAGUUGUCUUAUAUUUCUCCAAAUAUGGUCUUAUGAGCAUAUUGACAUUGCCCGGCCUAGUUUGCUAGAUUGCUACUUGACGUUUCCCCGUGCAUGCCGAUGGGAAAAUUGUAGGUCACAUCAAAGAAAAUGGAUCACUACAAAGUUUAAGGAACUGCAGGAAAAUCAGAUAACUUGGGAACUUCAACUGACUUCUGAGGAGUUAGAAAUUGAUAUAAUCAAAGAGUUAAUAGCUGCACAAAAUGACAGGACGGAUGUUUCUAAACCUGAAUAUCCUUCAUCUAUUAUGUUGACUGUUGAUGAUGAUAACUUGAGAAUCAGAUCUCACUUGAUGGAUAAACAAGCAGUUGAAAAUGGGUCAGAAAGGGAAAUAGUCAGAGAAGGGCACAGGAUACAAGAAAACAAUCUGGAGCAUUUGAGGGCACCAGAAAAUGUAGUAGAAGUGUUAACAGAUGCAACAGGAUGCCCAUCUGCAUCUUGUUGUGUUUCAGAGGAACCAAAAGAGCAAAUGCAGCAUCCAUCAACCUCAAAGAAUUCUUCCAUGAAUUUUACCAUUAGUGUUGAGGAUGACUUGAGAACAAGAUAUCAGUUAUUAGAAGAGCAAAAUAUGAAGUUAAUGGAAGAGAUAGACAAACUGAGAAGAGAAAAUAAUAUAUUAGGAGACCAGCUUUUAUCAAGCCAGCAGCUUGAAGGGCAGAUUGUAGAUUUAAAUAAGGAAGUGAAUGACCUGAGAAGAGAUAAUGAACUUUUAAGCUUCUCCUCAAAUAACCUUGUGUCUCGGCUAGAGAGACUUCUACUUGAUGAAGAUGUAAAUGCCACAGGAGAAAUGUAGACUACCAUCAAAAGCUCUGCAUUCGCUUCAUGCUUGCGAGAGCCACAACCUGCUGUGGAGCACUUUGUUUACAAUUGAGCACAGUGACUGAUUUAGAAAGAGUAAAACAUCCUGUAAGGACAAAUUCUAGUCAAUAAAUUUCUGGCAGGGUUCCCAUUUCAAUGCUUAAUUUAAAGAAGAGGUAUGGUGCUGCACUGGUGCUCCAUUAUUAUUUCUUCUUUUUUUCUUUGUGCUAGAUGCCCAUGAACUUCUUAUCAUCUUAUAAUUCACUAGGUUCUUUUUGGAUGAUCAAAUAUUAAUAUUAUUAUAUUUCUUGAGCUUAUAAGCACUAUUAGCAAACUUGCAAAAUCAGCUCUGAAACUAGAAUCCCUUAUCUUCUCUAGAUUUUGUUUGUCUAUUUGUCAACUGCUAUUUACCACACAUUACCUGAGCUAAUCUAUACUUCCUUUUAGAUGGCUAAGUUGAUCUUCUAAACCAAAAACCAUGGCCCUGCCAUGCAAAUGAGAAAUUCUUCUCUUGGGUUUGUGGGUGAUUACCUGAUUGAGAUUAGUCCUGUGUCUCAAGGACUAGGGUUCAGAAGCCUGUAGUCAUGAAAAAGAGGGGCAAAAAGAACAGGAAAAAAAAUCCCUUGACUCAUUUUCACCUGUCUGCAUCUUUUUGGAUGUGAUUUGUUGGUGGUCUUUGAGUAUAUUCCAGAUAAUAUUACAAUUGGAACAGUUUACCACAUUCAAUCCAGAUCCAGUACACUUAAAAGUGCUUGAGGCACGAUAUAUUUUAUUAGAAUGCAAAUCCAGUACAUUUGUAGUGCAAAAGAUGCAAUAUUUGGGCAUUCUCUUUUUUUCUUUUUUCUUUUUUUUUUUCUGGGAUGAAGAGGAGUCCCCGUUAGGUCUCUCUCCGUCCAUCUUUGUCUCAAUCUACUAUAUCCUGAGUGCCAUAUAUGUUAACUUGUCAACCUUACUUCACCCUGCAACACAAUGACAAAACAAUAGUAAAAAUCAUCAAUUUUAAAGUAAUGCUCAACUGCUCAGAAGACAGAGCCAUGAGCCCUGAAUACCUGCAGGCAUUCAAUGGAGGGGUCAAUCUUGUAUGGAACGCUGACUUCACAUUUGCCUGGAAGCUCAGAGAGGUAGUUCAAUUUGAUUCCAUAAAUGGAGGAUAUCGCCCUUCUUCAAGCACACAGGUGGUCUGGCGGUCUUUGGUGUUCUUAACUCCAUUGUUGAGGGUCCUAACUUCUUGGCAGCAUUCUGCUGUGACUGAACCACCGUUCCUCAGGAAAGAACUGCAUUGGUGAAGGUGUUGUUCAUCUGAUAACAUAUUAGGGCUUAUUCAGCUGCCAGUGCUGCAACCACCGCCAUGCAGAUAAACAUCAUUGCCCCUGCCAACUCAAGCGCUCUAGAACUGGCCAUCAUGAGUGACUGGCUGUUCUGCCCAAAAACUUUUAGCACCGAAAGAGAAAUGCAGGCUUAGACGUUUGGAUGCUGAUGAAAAUGCUGUGAGCUUUGGUUGUUUCUAUAGGAGCAAGUGUGAGGGUAUGCAAUUGCUUAGCUUAAUGCUCUGAUACUUCUUUACCGUGCCCGGAUCUGUGUUUUUCUUUCUCUGGCUGGUUUUCGUUUGUGAGAAAAAUUGACGUCCAACUCCUUGAUCAAAACUAAGGAAUUGUUCUAAGUUAAAAAAUAUCAGACAAGUAACCCAAAAUAAACACCUCGUAUGGUUAGGAUAGA